AAUACGAGCCACAGCUUAAAAUUCAAAGGACUUGGCGGUGCUCUAUANCCCCCUAGAGGAGCCUGUUCUAUAAUCGAUAAUCCCCGAUAAACCUCACCACCCCUUGCUAAUACAGCUUAUAUACCACCGUCCUCAGCUUACCCUUUAAAGGAAAAAAAGUAAACAAAAAAAUUUAAAAUAAAAAAGUCAGGUCAAGGUGUAGCAUAUGGGAUGGAAAGAAAUGGGCUACAUUUUCUACUUUAGAAAAUACGAAAUGUCUUAUGAAAUAAAAUAUAAAGGAGGAUUUAGAAGUAAAGAAAAAAAAGA
rnacentral:rRNA from 1 species